rnacentral:rRNA from 1 species
UAAACGACUCUCGGCAACGGAUAUCUCGGCUCUCGCAUCGAUGAAGAACGUAGCGAAAUGCGAUACUUGGUGUGAAUUGCAGAAUCCCGUGAACCAUCGAGUCUUUGAACACAAGUUGCGCCCGAAGCCAUUAGGUUGAGGGCACGUCUGCCUGGGCGUCUCAC